AUUGAACGCUGGCGGCAUGCCUUACACAUGCAAGUCGAACGGCAGCACGGGAGCAAUCCUGGUGGCGAGUGGCGAACGGGUGAGUAAUAUAUCGGAACGUGCCCAGUCGUGGGGGAUAACGUAGCGAAAGCUACGCUAAUACCGCAUACGAUCUAUGGAUGAAAGCGGGGGAUCGCUAGACCUCGCGCGAUUGGAGCGGCCGAUAUCAGAUUAGGUAGUUGGUGAGGUAAAGGCUCACCAAGCCGACGAUCUGUAGCUGGUCUGAGAGGACGACCAGCCACACUGGGACUGAGACACGGGCCCCAGACUCCCUACGGGAGGCAGCAGUGGGAAUUUUGGACAAUGGGCGCAAGCCGUGAUCCAGCAAUGCCGCGUG
rnacentral:rRNA from 1 species